GUACGGAGAUGCGUAGCGUUACCGUCCGGACUUUAUUGGGUUUAAAGGGGUGCGGUAGGACGGGCCGAGUAAGUCAGCGGUGAAAUUUUGCAGCUUAACUGUAACAGUGCCGUUGAUACUGCAUGGCUAGGAUUUGGUUGCUGUGGGUGGAAUGUGUGGUGUAGCGGUGAAAUGCUUAGAUAUCACGAGGAACUCCGAUUGCGCAGGCAGCUUACUAAACCACUACUGACGCUCAGGCACGAAAGUGUGGGGAUCAAACAGGAUUA
rnacentral:rRNA from 1 species